UGGAUCAUUUGAGGUGCAGUCAUUGGUAUAUAGGGAGAAGAGAAGUCGAGAAAGCACACAGCCUUGGGGGGGGGGGGGGGGCUGUGCUAACUGUACAGGUAUCAGAUGUGAUUCUGCCUAGUUUCAUCUGCUGCUUCCUGUGUGUUAGGUUGCUUAUGACCACUUACAAGUGUUCU